rnacentral:rRNA from 1 species
AUUAGAGUUUGAUCAUGGCUCAGAUUGAACGCUGGCGGCAGGCCUAACACAUGCAAGUCGAGCGGUAGAGAGAAGCUUGCUUCUCUUGAGAGCGGCGGACGGGUGAGUAAUGCCUAGGAAUCUGCCUGGUAGUGGGGGAUAACGUUCGGAAACGGACGCUAAUACCGCAUACGUCCUACGGGAGAAAGCAGGGGACCUUCGGGCCUUGCGCUAUCAGAUGAGCCUAGGUCGGAUUAGCUAGUUGGUGAGGUAAUGGCUCACCAAGGCGACGAUCCGUAACUGGUCUGGAGGAUGAUCAGUCACACUGGAACUGAGACACGGUCCAGACUCCUACGGGAGGCAGCAGUGGGGAAUAUUGGACAAUGGGCGAAAGCCUGAUCCAGCCAUGCCGCGUGUGUGAAGAAGGUCUUCGGAUUGUAGACUUUAAGUUGGGAGGAAGGGCAGUUACCUAAUACGUGAUUGUUU